GAAUACUUCUAUUCCUGUGUUUAACAAAUCAAUGAACUCCGUAAGAUAGGCAUAAACAAAUUCUACCAGUCCAUCGAGAAAUAAUUCGCAUGUUGGAAAGUUUGAUAUAAUAAGUAGAGUUUAAAAAGAUAAAAAAGGGAAAUCAAGCAAGAUAAUCUUGCAAUGCUUUUCUAUAUGAUGCGAAUUGCAAUUUUAAAAUUAAGAUAUACGAAGUUUAAAUAUCCAUGCUAAAAUCAGUUCUAUAAGAAAGCAAGAAAAAUUAUGUUUCAAGCAACGCAUAGGUUCGCCUUUGUAUGUAUAUUAUUACAGAUCAGAGAGAAAACUUACCAAAAGCCUGUGUGUUUUCCUAGAUUUAUAAAUAGUGUUUUACCAAAUAAGCAAUGGACAAUAUUCCAGUAUUUGAUUGUUGACUUCAUAGAUAAACAAAUAAGUAUCAUUAUGCUGUACUGACCCUUAUUUAUGCAUUUCUACUUGGAUUGUUAAUGCAAAACUCAGCUGUAGAAAUAAACAUUUUAGAAAAAUGAAACACAGUUAUUCAUCUUGAUUUGUAGACGUAAUAUAUCCGUCUGUCGCCUUUUUUUCUGAAUACUUGGGCUAAAAUCUGUUUGUCAAUAUAUGCCAAUGAGUCAGUAAAUAUGAGCUGAU
rnacentral:misc_RNA from 1 species